rnacentral:lncRNA from 1 species
CCUGCUAGCACUGUAACUUCGGGACUCAGCCUUCAGACACUACUUAGUCUCAGGAGGAGUGCUUACUAACACGAGGAAUCAAUAUCAUACUGGUAUUAAGUCACACGCGGAGCCUGGGGUGGAGCUAUGCAGGCUUGUAAGCACUACGGGGUAGGUCCGCACUGGAACAGAGGCGUCUAUCGGGGCAGUUGGGCAUCUACCUCCGACACUGGGGUUCUCAAAUUCCCCGUAUAGCUGCUGUCGGCUGGGGGGCCGGCGCCGCGCUCGGAGGAGGUGCGGGGCUCCGGCCGGAAGGGGCGGACCAGCGGUCUGGACUCCUGGAUGGGUGUGGAGGAUUGAUCCGCCGCCCAUGCGCAGGGGUGCGGUAUGCGGCCGGCCCGAAGGGAAGAAGAGGAGAUGGAGUUGGGGGCCUCUUCAUCCUCCAUCUCGUCAUUACCAAAAACAGAAGGCAAUCACUCCUCUGCUAGGCCAUGAAACUGUCUUCCCCUCCCCAUCUGUCACUGGUGGUGAGAGUAAUCUGGAAUUAACAUCACAAUGGAUAAGACAUACUUGGCUCUUCCUGUCCAUAGAAGGAGGAAUUGCUAGUUGGGAUAUGACAUUCCGUAAGAGGUUUCCUGCUGUCCUCUGA